UACUUUUGAAGAUGUGAGAGGCAGAAUAGAGCACAGCUGGGUCCCUGGCCCAGGUGGAGUUUGCAGGGCUGGCAGAGAGGGGAGUCAGCUUUUGACUGUGAACUGAAGACAGUUUAACCUAUAGGUGAUUGUGAGGGAUUCUAGUAUGAAACCCCCAGAUGCUGGUGUCUGAAUAACUGUCCUUUCGGGAGUUACACAUCAGGGUUCAACACUUCCUCAGGCAAUAUAAAAAAACGUGGCCCAGUUUGGGAAGGAAGACAUUCUCCCUCAUUCUGCACAAGCCCCUGCACCGCCAGGCCACCCAAAGCCAGGCAGGUAGGACAAAAAGGCUGUUUUUCAGAUCGAACUGUGCCAUUUCUCCAGUGUAGCACCUUUGGGUGCUCACCAAACAUUACCAAGUGUUUCUAUUCUUUCUGAGUCAUCAACCUGCUCCUUGGCUUCUGAAUGGGAAUUAGACCAGGAACAUCCAUUCCCUGAAGGUGCCCAGCUGGAAGACCAAGAAGAAUGUCCAGAGCAAACAUCUGGGACUGGAGAAAUAGAGCGGAUAUGUGUGCGUGUUUAUCCUACGUCACAGGGGGAGAUGCCUGCAUUCUUCUUUCCUAUCAUUGUCUCAUCAUAGGAGAUCCAGGAGGAAAAGCUUCAUGCAAAGACAUUGAAUUUCUGGAAAGGGGUUUCACGAUGGACAGCUGCUGACUUUGAUGUGAAAGUUAUAAACUUCUCCCCUGGCCAUCAGGCUGGAGUUUGGUCAUGAUAAAGCCAUCCCUUUAAGGCUGAUAGAUAUCAUUCAGCUUCAGAUUUUAGCCAUAAAUAUAAAAUGUUCCUUGCAGAAGAAGCUCUUUUAAGUUGAGUCUAACUAUAGGUUCCUUUACAUUCUCCAGGCCCAUUCCUUUGGUGUUGUCGUCUUACAUCUACAGUUUGUUGAUAUGACAGUUAGACAGGAACCUAGAAGUUGCCCAGGGGUGUUCAGCUACCAUGACCCACCCCCUAUGCCCCUACCUAUUUGAGGUCACCACCUCACCCCCUGAAGUGCAGGGAGGUGAGUGCUUACUUUGAGACUGAAAGUGAACAAGCACUCAUCUCAUUUCGGGAGCUUUGAGAUACUCCUUGAAAUGACUGCUAUUUUCUAUUCCAUGAAUACUUUUCUGUAAUUAUUCUUUUACUUUAUUUUUGUUUUUGGCACUAUUACAGAUGUCCCCAUUUCCCAUGCCCUUUUGCCCACCUCCAUCAAGCCCCUGCCCCCACCUUCCCUCUGGCCAUCACCAUCCUUGUCUAUUACUCUGUGUCCAUUAAUACUUUUAAAAAGUUAUUUUUAAAGAGAAAUAUAAAACUAUGAGACAUGAAUGAGUGGAAAUGUAUUGAGGCUAAGUGUCCUAUGUGUCAGGGGUCAUGCUAAUUCCCAACUUGUUGGUUCUAAUUGAAUACCACCCCACCACCCGAGUGCACACGUUACUAAGGUCAGGUACUUUGGAGUAUGUGACCUGUUCCUUGCUAUCAGGCUCCAUAUGCCAGACCUUGUCUCUCAAUUUAAAAGUUUUAAAAGAUGCACAUUAUCCUUGGUGGUGUUGAUGUUUUAUUUUAACAGCAGUGAGUUAUGCUGUGAAUGUAAAGAUGUAGGAAGAAGGGACAGUCAAACCUGGCUCUAUUUCAAUGCUGAAUAUGCAUAACUUAUGAUGUAAUAAAAGUUCAAACUUACUAUUAUUAGUUUUGGAUUCCCACUGUCUCUCUAAAUUCAACCCCUGCCCUCAGAAUGAAAGUUGGCAAAUACUCAAUGGUUCUAAAGUCACUUUAAGUCCUGACACACAAUCUUAAUUCAGUAAGUAGAAUAAACCUGUCCAUGAUGUGAAU